GCUGUGAUAUUUUAAUGGUUAUGAUCCCAUACUGUGGAAACGAUGACCUAGGUUCAAAUCCUAGUUUACAGCA
rnacentral:tRNA from 1 species